AGUUCAUCUGCCAUAUUUUUGAACAUCAACAGGGCAAAAUAAUGACAGUGAAUACAAAAACACAUGAACAGAGAUGCUAAUUAUCAAUUGAUUUUAUCUAUACCAGGUCACAGGUAUACAGAGAUGCUUGGUUCUUUGCUCAUGUGUUUUUGAAUCCACCACCAUUACUUUGUCCUGCUGAUGGUCAUAAAUGCGGUGGGUGAACGGAAAAAGUGACAGAAAAAGAUGAAUAAAUGCACUUUUUUUGUCUUGUUUAGUCUCGUUUACAGUUAAAAUGUUAAUGAAAUUAGAUGAAACUUUUGAUACCAGUUUCAACUACCCCAAUGCGGAGAAGUACCAACGCUAUGCUCGUGAAAUUAAGUCAGUGAUUGAAGAAAAUUACAAAACUGUGUCUACCUUCAAAGCUCCAGUAAGGGUCACUGGUUUCAGGUAAGGUCUACAAUCUAAACUUUGACUCAAAAGGUCCAUUUUGGUUUUUACUGCUUGUGUUUAUACAGUCUUCUCAUUGUUGUGGUUUGUGUGUUGCUCCAAAGGCCUGGUAGCAUUAUAGUAGACUAUGAAAUAUUUUCAACAAGCAACAACCCAGCUAAUUUUGUAGAUGCAAACAGUAAGGUUGCCAAAAAUCUCCAAUCCAUUGGAUAUAAUGUAGCUGUGGAUCAUUUUGCUGAAAGUG